rnacentral:tRNA from 3 species
GGAGAGAUGGCUGAGUGGUCGAAAGCACCGGUUUGCUAAACCGACGUACGGGGAUAACUCGUACCGCGGGUUCAAAUCCCGCUCUCUCCGCCA